GACGGAGGGAGCUAGCGUUGUUCGGAAUUACUGGGCGUAAAGCGCACGUAGGCGGCUUUGUAAGUUAGAGGUGAAAGCCCGGGGCUCAACUCCGGAACUGCCUUUAAGACUGCAUCGCUUGAAUCCAGGAGAGGUGAGUGGAAUUCCGAGUGUAGAGGUGAAAUUCGUAGAUAUUCGGAAGAACACCAGUGGCGAAGGCGGCUCACUGGACUGGUAUUGACGCUGAGGUGCGAAAGCGUGGGGAGCAAACAGG
rnacentral:rRNA from 1 species